GGCGCAGCUCCCGGGCGGCUCCACGGCCUUCUCGCAGAACACGGCGCAGGCGCCGGGCGGAGAGCUUAGCAGAGCCACUGCGAGGGUCAGCCGCGCGCAGAGGGUGUGAGCGGCGAGUAGCUGCCGGCGCCUGGGGAGCGGGGGUCGUGUGGGCGGCGAGCCAGGCCGGCGCCUGCGCGGGGCGGGCGGCCUGGGAGCGCGGGCCGGCGUCGGGAGUAUCUCUGGGAGCCUUCCACAGAAGUAUGUGGAUCCUUUAUCUGGAGCUGCUGGCCAAAGAGGAAAAAAGACAUUAAAUGGACAAGUAGAAGGUAAUGUUAACAAAACUUACAGAUUUGUCAGCAGAACUAGACUUAGAAAUGAGACAUGAGAGGAAGAACAAGAAAAAUCUGAUGGAGAUGAAAAUAAC